GAAAGGAAUGGUUCAAGGAGGCAACAGGGGGCGGCGGGGGGCUUGGGCCCUCAUCGCCCUGGCAAUGCCUCAGGCCCAGCCCUCAUCCCCAGUUCCGUCAGCGCUCUCUCAUGCCUUCAGAGAAACCAGGGCUGGGAUGGGCCACACAGCAAACCACCCCUCCCCCACUUCCCAUGCAGCUACUUGGCCCCCAGACCUUGUCCUCCCAUCAUUCUCCUCAUACUCCUUUUCGGUGACCCCCUCAUGUAGAAAGGGUUUGGCUGCAAUGCGAAGGAUCGCUCUGCAGGAUCUUUGGGGCCCCAUCUCCAGGCGAUUCCUGUGUGGCAGGUGUCUGAGGGGGCUCAGGAGCCUGGAGGUUUGGGAUCAUGAAGAGCCUCGGAUAAUGGGGUUCAGUCCUGCCACCAUGUUCACGGCUGGAAGGAAGUCCUGUAAUUGAAAAGUGAGCCUUACCUCUGAUCUCCUAGGAAGACCUGGGGACUGGAUUUCUUUGUGGGACAGUCCCCCCCCUCCCCCGUGGUUUCACAAUUCCUAUGUCAUCCUCAGUGAGCACUUUUGGCCUCUCUUUUGGGAGGACCAGGGCGGCGAGAGCUCUCAGCCUCUGCUGUCCCAGCCUGGGAAUGCCUGGGUGGGUGAGGACUCUCCUCUGCCAUUGAACUCAACCUCGGCUGUCAUCUGCCUGGCUGUCAGCACUGACCUGGGCAUCCUGCCUCUUGGUCCAGCCAGGUCCCUCACAGAGAGGGUCCACACAGAUACCAGUCAUGCACCCUCUUGGGGGCAGAGCCUUUGGAAGUCACCAUUGUAAGUUCCACCCUGUUCUCCAAAAUUUUGUAGAAGGGUUUGUCCUAAGUUUCUACAGUGGCUCCCUUGCCCCUUCCAGCCCCAGCUUCUCAAUUGCUGAAGUCUUGGCAAAUAUUUGGGAACCAUACACACACACACCAAAGAAACGGCUUUCAAUGGCAGUCCUGGGACCUCCCCUGGGUCUAGAACCCCUGGCUGAGGGACCUGUGGUACUGGGCCAAAGUCCUGGGCUUAAGCCAAGAGGACUGGAUUGACUACCACUUCCUGCCUUGGGCAAGUUCUUUCAUUUUCCCCCUGAGCCUCUGUUUCUCCAUAUGUAAAAUGGGGCGAAUGCCAACUUAGUUUAUGUGAGGCCCCCAAGCAGCAGAGGCCAGGAAAUGUCCUCCCUUCCCUCCUCUCCCACCAUGGGGAUCCUAGGUGCUGUUUAGGUGGGCUCCAAGGGAGAGCUGUUCCUGAUCUGUCACCAUCCUUCCUGGCUGAUUCUCUGGCUUCCUGUCAAUAAAAAUAGCAACUGCUUGUGGGGAGUCUGGGAU
rnacentral:lncRNA from 1 species